UACGUAGGGUGCGAGCGUUAAUCGGAAUUACUGGGCGUAAAGCGUGCGCAGGCGGUCUGUUAAGACCGAUGUGAAAUCCCCGGGCUUAACCUGGGAACUGCAUUGGUGACUGGCAGGCUUUGAGUGUGGCAGAGGGAGGUAGAAUUCCACGUGUAGCAGUGAAAUGCGUAGAGAUGUGGAGGAAUACCGAUGGCGAAGGCAGCCUCCUGGGCCAACACUGACGCUGAGGCGCGAAAGCGUGGGGAGCAAACGGG
rnacentral:rRNA from 1 species